GAUGAACGCUGGCGGCGUGCCUAAUACAUGCAAGUCGAGCGAACAGACGAGGAGCUUGCUCCUCUGACGUUAGCGGCGGACGGGUGAGUAACACGUGUAUAACCUACCUAUCAUACUGGGAUCACUUCGGGAAACCGGAUCUAAUACCGGAUAAUAUAUUGAACCGCAUGGUUCAAUAGUGAAAGACGGUUUUGCUGUCUCUUAUAGAUGGAUCCGCGCCGCAUUAGCUAGUUGUUAAGGUAACGGCUUACCAAGGCGACGAUGCGUAGCCGACCUGAGAGGGUGAUAGGCCACACUGGAACUGAGACACGGUCCAGACUACUACGGGAGGCAGCAGUAGGGAAUCGUCCGCAGUGGGCGAAAGCCUGACGGAGCAACGCCGCGUGAGUGAUGAAGGUCUUCGGAUCGUAAAACCCUGUUAUUAGGGAAGAACAAAUGUGUAAGUAACUAUGCACGUCUUGACGGUACCUAAUCAGAAAGCCACGGCUAACUACGUG
rnacentral:rRNA from 1 species